GCUCCCAUAGCUCAAUUGGAUAGAGCAACAGCCUUCUAAGCUGUAGGUUGCAGGUUCGAUCCCUGCUGGGGGUA
rnacentral:tRNA from 1 species